CACAGCUUCACACCCCCCUUUCUGUUUCCCCCCACAUCCUAUCAUUGCCUCUUGCUCGCUCGCAAAAAAACCUUUUUUUGCCUCCCUUUCUUUUCCUCGUCUCUAUGUCGCGAAAAAUACCCAAGACUGACUUAUAAUUCUCGCCGCUUUCUUGUUUUUUUUUUCUCCUGUACAGAGAUACACUGCAAUCCCUUUCGAAAAGUAGCCUCUUUUUAAAACAAAAGUGAUAUUUAUGGAGAUUUCGCAAUUGCGCGUAAAGUGCCAUUUUUCCGAUCACAUCUAUUUUUGGGGUAAGAUUAUUAUCAGUGCAGUUGUAGGUGAUCAGAAAGUAUUUUUUUUUUAAAUGUAAAAAAGGGGGCCUUGCUGUAUGUUGCAAAGCCGUAUGUUUUUCCACCGAGAGAGCAGCUUCGUUCUAUUUUUGGGUAGGUGGAAGAUAUCUCCUAGUAGUUUGACUUAGAAAAAAACCCUGCAAAUGUUAACUGGCUUAAGCGGCUACUAAACGCAUGCAGUGACCUACAGGUUUAGCCCGGACCAUACUUUAAGUUUCCGGCAGUAACUUUGGAAUGAUUAUGUCUGUUUAAGGUCAGACGAAUAGGGCAAUGUUUGGGUUUCGUUUUUGUUUUCUUCCCGGGCAGCAUUUCUCGGGGAAAGGAAGAAAAUAUGCUCUCUUGAAAGUCAGAUACGGUAGCCAAGUAGUUGGAGGCAGCAGAUCCAGGCUGCGUCUGAGCCACAUGUCUGCUCUGUGCAGCUCACAAAUCUCAGGCUGUCCGUGUACAAGGUCCUGCUGAUCCGCUCUUGUCAUGAAGGAGACCCAGGGCUCCGUUUUUCCUCCAACACACCACAUUCGCAUAACACACACACGCUCGCAAACACAGACCCCUCCAUGCACGCACGUCCACGCAACACACACACACACACACACACACACACACACACACACACACACACACACACACACACACUCGUGCCGAUCGAUUUGCAUGUGACUUCGUCAGUGAAUGAGCGAGAAUCGACUCAAAAACAACGCUUCAAAGAGGCAAACAGCUAUGAAAAAUAAUAAUAAAAAAGAAACAGAGAUGGACAAAGUGGGGUAAAGAAGGGGAAAGUGUAGCUUAGAGGAGCUGAAGGCAGGGCGGAGGGAUUGCACAUUUCAGACAGAGACGUGUCGGAGAAGAACAAAAAAUGUCUUUAUCCAGAAGAGGAUUUUUGUUUUGGUAGAACCACACGACGGUGCCGAAACCCCCGUUUGGAUGUGGCAAGUGUCAAAUGUGGUCCAAAUGUACAAAGCAAGAGACGGUGCCUUUUUUUGCCGGACGCACACGGACCCACAGGCUGGACUUGGAGCUCCCUUCCUGGGCUGCGCUCAUGUGGAGCUGCCGCUGCCCUUCGUCCGCUCUGCACAGCUCCGUCUCUUACUGCAUUUGUGCCUCCAAAACACGUCUCUCGACAACCAUAAGCCCUCUACACCUUCCCCCGAUCGCCCGGAAAAGCACGUAUUUGUUUCAAAACCGUGCUUUUCCACGAUCAACUGCUUGGAGUGGAUCGCUGUCUUGCCCGUUUCUUAUCUUCCAUUCAUGAGGAGGAGAGGACGAACGCUGAUGUAAACACAGCGUGGAGGCUGCGCUGUUUACCUCCGCAUCACACAUGAGAGGCUGCUGUCCGGCUCCUCGUGUUUCCAGGGCGGAUAGGGCAGCACAGCCAGGUGCAAUGGGAGCGCCCUCUUAUGUUCAGCCUGACCACUGGGAUCAAGCAGCGCGUCAACUCCUUUCACAGGAGCCAAGCGCCUGCGGACCAACUGGUCUUUGCGCAAAAAAAAUAAAAAAGAAAAAAGAAAGAAAAAAAAAGCGCACCUAUUUUUUUUCCUUCCUCUGCCAUCCAGUCUAUGAUUAUAGAUUAAACUGAGUCGCAUGUAAAUGAUGUGAACCGACACGUUCGGGUUAUUAGGUGGACAAAAGAGGUGAAGGCUAUCCACUGCGGGAAAUUACAAAUAUUACUGAGAAAAAAAGUAGCAGUGCCACAUUCAUGCACUGUCCGUUUGUAUAAAAAAAAAAACAAUGAAAAAGAAUCUUCACUUUUAGGGAGUGACAAGAUCAGAUCAAACUUGAACUUGGCCUAAUUAAGGAGGAGAUUUCAUAUAGAAUCAUGGAAAAGAAAAUGACCUAAAAUGCAUAUAUUUAAUUUCAAAUGUAAAUUUUACAGUCGUUUUAUUGCGUGGCUGUACAUAAGGCAUGCUCUGCACUCCAGAUCUUAUUCCAACAUUAGAGCAAACGUCCCCUAUAAACAAGAACACAGCAUCUUUUUGCAAAUCUUUACUUACAGGCUUUGUAUUUCUGCAGCUUUUUGCUCAAAAUGAGAUUUUUAAAAUGCAUGUUUCCUCAUAGUUUCCCUCCCUGUCAUGCCUGGCACACGGAGAAUGUUCUUGAAUGGAUACAAGUCAGUGUGGAGAAUCUUUUGUUUAGCCAAACUGAAGUGUAACGUUUGUACUUGGAAAUGCUGCAGUCCUGCCUGUAUUAUAGCAAAUAUUAUAUCCCAUCCUUUAUUCAUCAUUCAGCUGGUUUUAACUUUAAAGAUGCACAUGCAACGUGUUUUACAGAACUAAAUAUUGAAUUGUUCAUGUUGGUAGAACUGUCUGUAAAUGGAGUUGUUUGCUUGCUUGUUUAUUUUAUUUUUUUUAUUGUUCCUGAUAUUCUGUAUCAUGAGACUCGUUUUCUAUUUGCUUGAUUUUAUGACUGCCUGUUUAUUUAUAGCCAAUAUGUUUGAUUUUUUAAACAUUUAUUUAUGUUUGUUGACGUGACUCCUUAAAAAUAAUAUUAAAAUGAUCCUGUAAAAAAAAA